ACAAGGUUUCCGUAGGUGAACCUGCGGAGGAUCAUUGUCGAAACCUGCAAAGCAGACCGCGAACACGUGUUUAACAAAAUCGGGGCGGCGGUGAGGGGGCCCGCCCCCGGCCGCCUCCCCAACCUCGCACGGGGCGUGCGCCCGCGCUGCGCCGUGCGGGCCUAACAAACUCGGGCGCGGAAUGCGCCAAGGAAAACUCAAAGGACCGUCCUCCCGCCCAUGCCCGUACGCGGUGUGCUGGGCGGGAUCGGACGCAAGUCGUAAUACCAAAACGACUCUCGGCAACGGAUAUCUCGGCUCUCGCAUCGAUGAAGAACGUAGCGAAAUGCGAUACUUGGUGUGAAUUGCAGAAUCCCGUGAACCAUCGAGUCUUUGAACGCAAGUUGCGCCCGAAGCCAUCAGGCCGAGGGCACGUCUGCCUGGGCGUCACGCAUCGCGUCGCCCCCCUCCCCGUCGGGGAUGGGGGCGGAGAAUGGCCUCCCGUGCGACCCCGCGCGGCCGGCCCAAAUGCUCUCCCCCGGCGACGCACGUCGCGGCCAGUGGUGGUUGAACCCUCAACUCGCGUGCUGCUGCGACCGAACGCGUUGUCCGCCGGGACACGAAAUAGGACCCAACGGCGCAACGCGCCUACGACCGCGACCCCAGGUCAGGCUGGACUACCCGCUG
rnacentral:rRNA from 1 species